CCUACGGGAGGCAGCAGUAGGGAAUAUUGCACAAUGGGGGAAACCCUGAAGCAGCGACGCCGCGUGAGGGAAGAAGGAUUUCGGAAUGUAAAGCUCUAUCAGCAGAGAAGAAAAUGACGGUACCUAACGAAUAAGCACCGGCUAACUACGUGCCAGCAGCCGCGGUAAUACGGAGGGGGCGAGCGUUAUCCGGAUUUACUGGGUGUAAAGGGAGCGUAGGCGGCAAGCCAAGUCAGAAGUGAAAUCCCAGGGCUCAACCCUGGGACUGCUUUUGAAACUGCCGGGCUGGAGUGCAGGAGAGGUAAGCGGAAUUCGUGGUGUAGCGGUGAAAUGCGUAGAUAUUAGGAGGAACUCCAGUGGCGAAGGCGGCUUACUGGA
rnacentral:rRNA from 1 species